rnacentral:rRNA from 1 species
CGGGUGAGUAACGCGUGGAUAACCUGCCUUACACUGGGGGAUAACACUUAGAAAUAGGUGCUAAUACCGCAUAAGCGCACAGAGCCGCAUGGCUCAGUGUGAAAAACUCCGGUGGUGUAAGAUGGAUCCGCGUCUGAUUAGCUGGUUGGCGGGGUAGGAGCCCACCAAGGCGACGAUCAGUAGCCGGCCUGAGAGGGUGAACGGCCACAUUGGGACUGAGACACGGCCCAAACUCCUACGGGAGGCAGCAG